AUUGAACGCUGGCGGCAUGCUUUACACAUGCAAGUCGAACGGUAACAGGCCGCAAGGUGCUGACGAGUGGCGAACGGGUGAGUAAUGCAUCGGAACGUGCCCAGUCGUGGGGGAUAACGCAGCGAAAGCUGCGCUAAUACCGCAUACGAUCUAUGGAUGAAAGCGGGGGACCGUAAGGCCUCGCGCGAUUGGAGCGGCCGAUGUCAGAUUAGGUAGUUGGUGGGGCAAAGGCUCACCAAGCCAACGAUCUGUAGCUGGUCUGAGAGGACGACCAGCCACACUGGGACUGAGACACGGCCCAGACUCCUACGGGAGGCAGCAGUGGGGAAUUUUGGACAAUGGGCGCAAGCCUGAUCCAGCAAUGCCGCGUGCAGGAGGAAGGCCUUCGGGUUGUAAACUGCUUUUGUACGGAACGAAACGGUCCGGGUUAAUACCCUGGGCUAAUGACGGUACCGUAAGAAUAAGCACCGGCUAACUACGUGCCAGCCGCCGCGGUAAGAC
rnacentral:rRNA from 1 species